GACGAACCGUGCGAACGUUAUUCGGAAUCACUGGGCUUAAAGCGUGUGUAGGCGGACUUCUAAGUACCUUGUGAAAUCCCACGGCUCACCCGUGGAACUGCUUGGUAUACUGGUUGUCUUGAGCCUUCUAGGGGCGAGUGGAACAAAUGGUGGAGCGGUGAAAUGCGUAGAUAUCAUUUGGAACGCCAAUGGUGAAAACAACUCGCUGGGGAAGUGCUGACGCUGAGACACGAAAGCCAGGGGAGCGAACGGG
rnacentral:rRNA from 1 species